rnacentral:rRNA from 1 species
AGCGAACGCUGGCGGCAGGCUUAACACAUGCAAGUCGAACGGUCCUUCGGGAUAGUGGCGGACGGGCGAGUAACACGUGGGAACGUACCCUUAGGUUCGGAACAACACAGGGAAACUUGUGCUAAUACCGGAUAAGCCCUUCGGGGGAAAGAUUUAUCGCCUUUGGAGCGGCCCGCGUCUGAUUAGCUUGUUGGUGGGGUAAUGGCUCACCAAGGCCACGAUCAGUAGAUGGUCUGAGAGGAUGGCCGGCCACACUGGGACUGAGACACGGCCCAGACUCCUACGGGAGGCAGCAGUGGGGAAUCUUGCGCAAUGGGCGAAAGCCUGACGCAGCCAUGCCGCGUGGAUGAUGAAGGUCUUAGGAUUGUAAAAUCCUUUCACCGGGGACGAUAAUGACGGUACCCGGAGAAGAAGCCCCGGCUAACUUCGUGCCAGCCGCCGCCGUAA